GCUGUGAGCUCCAUGCGUUUCCUUUGAAGCUCUGGCAUCGAAUCAAGGUAUAUAUUUCUCUGGCCUGGACGUCUCCCAAACAGAGAGAAAUUCACGGAUCCCCAGGCACCGACCGAUCUUAUAACGAAAAAUAUUUCACGGAAGUAAUAACACACUCGAGUGAAAUUUUAUUCCCAUUCCGUUGAUGUAACUCGUUCAACUUGCCGAUAAACGAACGCUUCAAACAAGUUACUUUGAAAACGUUCAUUUACCAGCGAAUUAACAGAAGUUUGAGGCGAUAAGAACUCGAAACAUCAAACCUGCUGAAAUAAGUUCUAUCAAACUUUCCAACUACUGCAGAACUUGGCAUGUUGCAACUGUGAAUUGCAGGCGAAUUAAUAUAGCAAACGGUUGGUCGUUUCAACUGCAAUCGACCCGAGAAGAAAGAACUUGGUAUACAAACUUUUCGUCUAGAAAGAAUAAUUUCCCGGAUUCUUGAAAGAUCGGAAGCAAUCUAGGAGUAGCUGACGGCGCGAUAGAGAAAAUUUGUUCAAGAAAGAAUUGUAAUAUUUGUCGAUUAAGUCGAGUUCGUCCAGAAGCUUCUGACUUAGAGGCUAUUUCCUUUCUUCGUACGUCACAGCAUGGCUUCAAAGCUGAAGCGUAAAGACCGCGUUCUUUACUUUGAAAACAGACUAGCUUUACACAGGCGGAAGGACUAAGUUUUAAUUAAAGGUCGCGGUCGUUUUUCAGAGAGGCAACGUUUUCACGCUCACGCGUUUUUUUAAGGAGAUUUUAAUUUGUUGCACAACUUUCAGAUCGUGAUGCGCAUCUCCUUCAAAGAUCUUUUUCAGAAUCUUCAUAAUUAAAAUAAAGUAACGGCGAUGACUGGGUAUAUUCCACAAAAGUUCUUCUUUAUUCUCUUUAUCAAACGAGUUGUAAAACGAGCUGGACCAAAUGUAUCCAUUUUCCAAACAAAUUUUUCUUCCUUCCUGUCGAUUGAAUUACAGUGGGCGGUCGCGUCGGUAUAUGUCUAUUUGCGAUGGAAACGCAAAUGCACAGCGGCGCGGGAAGCGAAGAAAAAUAGAGAUGGGAUCUCCAAUCGGGCUACGUAAUUUUCUCAAUUUAAAUCUAAUCUAGCCUGGCACGCAGACGCAUCUACAUAUAUUUUCGGAGCAAAGUAGCGAACGGAAGUGAGACAGGGGCACAAAUGGGAAGGCUAGUAGACCUUUCACAGAGCUCGAAUAUUUUUUCCUUUAUUCAGGCCAUUCACCGUGCUGGCAAUUACGUGCCAUUUACGUGGCAACCAGGCUGUCGCAUCUAACGCGGCUUUUCCGCCUACACGCGCCCGCGCGUGAAUUCGAUCCGAUCGCAGCUAGCCCCGAUCGACUAACCCGAAAUACCGGAAUCGAUUAUGCUGGUUUACAGGAUGCCUCGUCAAUCAACGUGUGAGCCCCCCAAUUUUUCAAUCACCUUUUUUCACCGAAGACAACAGCGACACGUGAACCAACGUACGAUGCUUCCCGUUAAACCGAAGCGUCAAUAGGAAGCUCGUGUCACGGUGCGCCGAGAUAUAAGACAACGAGAUCGCGUUUGCCGAACAUACGUUAUUCUAUUGUUAAUAUACAUACUAGGAAAUUUCAUAAAAUAUGAUUAGCUUGGUAUUGUCUCCGUAAGUUAUAAUUUAAUUAAAUAAUUGUAAUUUAUAAUUUAAUUAAACCACCGAUUUCGUAAGUAAUGCUGCCUUUCUGAGAGUUAAGCUUAAAAGAAUGAAAGUUGUUGCCAUCGGAGUUUAAAAAAAUUAAAAUAGGAAAGUUAAUAGAAACAGACAGUGGAUUAUUAAAAGAUACGAGAAAAUUUAUCGCUGAUUGAUUGCGAAGAAGUAAUCUUUUAGUUUUAUCUAGCAUAAAAUGGCUUGAUAUGUUUAAAAAGUUAUUUUCAACAAGAUGGUAUAUAAAGAAGAGAACAAUUCAGUUGUAUUAUCGAGAUACACACUGGCUCGAAAUACAUACUGUUAUGUCUAAGUACUUUACUUAUCCCGUUAGGAGAUUACAUUUCCGUUCCGGCUGAGAUUACUUAUUCGUUUUAUAGCGAUAAGAGUAAGUCGGUAUAUAUAUAUAAAGCAGAGAAGAUACGUAUAUACGAUUCCAAGGGAAUCCAUAAAAGUAACAACAUACAAAACUUUUCCUAUAUCCGGUGGAGCAUAAGCGUACAACGUUGUAAUAGUAAUCUCAAAAUAAAUGUAGACGUUGUACCGAUAUAUCAGUAAUGCGAUGUUGCGGAAUCGAUAGUAUCAGCCGAAAGAUAAUUUCAGAAAUACAAUUAUUAUCGAUGCAAAGACUAAACACUCAUUGUAUGAUGUACGCUAUAAUAAAUUCGAAAAUUUCGAGAAAUUGAAGUUCAAUAAUCAACUCCUAAUAGAAGAAUAUACAAUAUAUCAACUCCUAAUAUAGGAAUAUGAGAGAAAAGGAAUUCCCAAACGACUAUGUCGAAAUAGCAGGUAAUAGGAAAAGAGGCAAGGCAUAAGUUCACCUGCGAUACUUUGUGAUACUCGAGCCUGAACUAUUUUCUCUCUCUACCUUUUUCGUUAUCUACUUAUUUAUCCGUUGAGCCAAGAACUUGAUGCAAUUUCCUGUAACUUCCGAAAGUUAUGUCGCUUGACAAAAGAACACUCAAUUACCAAAUUUGAUAUGUGCAACAUUGCCGGUAGAAUAUAUUACACGGUAUCUUUUGGGAUGCGACUACUUAUCCUAGUACCUUCCUCAAAAAUGUAACCUUUUACAUAGUUACGCGCUAUUUACAUAGGACUCGCGCUAUUAUCGUUAAAAUAUUCGAUCGAAUUGAUGGAACGAAAGCCAUUUUUCUUUGAGCAGUAUUUUAUAUUUAAAUGGUGAAAUAUUCCCUGAAGUCUACCAAGUAUAUUUUACUAUUGAACAUGCACGUACCACGUACGAAUUCAACGUGUUUAAAAUCCUAGAAAAAUGAUAUGGCACGCAGAAAAUGAUAUUAUCAUUUUUAUACAAGUAAGUAUAUCCAGAGUUGAAUACGUACUUACAUGUAUGAAAACGAUAAUAUCAUUUUACCGGUUUCUUUUUAUAUGCGAUUUUCAAAUUAUUAAAACCGCGGAUUAUUAUGGACAAUUGUUCUUUUAUUAUAUAGCAACUUGUAAUUUGAAUGUGAACGUAGUGUUUUUGUGAAGCGAAUGAACGCCGGCUGUGAACAAAGAAAUUACCGUGAAUCCAGGACACAUAAGUCUUUAAUUAAAAAUUCUCUAUACACAUAGCUGUAUUCUUUCGUAACAACUUCUCGCUUUGCAGGAUAAUGAAAAGCAUUUCUUUGUAUAACGAACUGAGUCUGAGAAAGCAAUUACCGAAGAUACCGAAGAAUUCUAACAGCUUUCUUUCAAGAUGUAUCGUCUUAAACGUAUUGAUAUUCGAAGAGAGGGUUGCACAGAUAUCGUAUAUUAACUAAGGUUAUCAAUAGAUGAAAACUGUGAAUAUUAAAAAUCGCAGUCGAUUAAAAUACUUGUUGAUUUUACUUGACUAUUAACUGGUAUAUUUGCAACAUUUGCACAUUGUGCACAUGAUUUAUAACUAUUCGUGAUAUCAAACA